rnacentral:rRNA from 2 species
UUUAGAGUUUGAUUCCAUGGCUCAGAGUGAACGCUGGCGGCAGGCCUAACACAUGCAAGUCGAACGGCAGCACAGAGGAGCUUGCUCCUUGGGUGGCGAGUGGCGGACGGGUGAGGAAUACAUCGGAAUCUACCUUGUCGUGGGGGAUAACGUAGGGAAACUUACGCUAAUACCGCAUACGACCUACGGGUGAAAGCGGAGGACCGCAAGGCUUCGCGCGAUAAGAUGAGCCGAUGUCGGAUUAGCUAGUUGGCGGGGUAAAGGCCCACCAAGGCGACGAUCCGUAGCUGGUCUGAGAGGAUGAUCAGCCACACUGGAACUGAGACACGGUCCAGACUCCUACGGGAGGCAGCAGUGGGGAAUAUUGGACAAUGGGCGCAAGCCUGAUCCAGCCAUGCCGCGUGGGUGAAGAAGGCCUUCGGGUUGUAAAGCCCUUUUGUUGGGAA